CUUUUUUGGAACCAUAUUCUUUUGCCUUCAAUAAUACGUUACACGUCAGCGUCGAUCUUGACCGUCCAUUGCUAACAAGAUCAGACCGUCCACGUCAUCCUCCCAGAAGAUUCCAGCUCAAUCGUACGGGUACUAAUUCGUGGUGGGAACGGAAACGGAAACGGAAACGGACUCUUGCCGCCUUCCCCUCAAAGCUCUAUAAAUACUUCCCAUAUCCUUCAUCAAUGUUCUCAUUCCUCUCAUCGUUCUUCCUUCCUUGUUCCUUUGAUCUCUUUCGCGCGUUUUUGGACUUUCGCUUUCUGAUUCGCAGUUGUUCAGUUUGGUUUAAGCUUCAUCCAAACGAAGUUCAUGGUUGAAUUAGACUUCCAGAUCCCAUCUGCUUUCGAUCCAUUCGCCGACUCCAAGGAUUCUGAUGCCCCCGGAACCAAAGCUUAUGUUCAUAUCCGCGUUCAGCAGAGGAAUGGCAAAAAGUGCUUGACUACAGUUCAGGGUCUGAAGAAAGAGUUCAGCUACGAGAAGAUCCUUAAGGACGUGAAGAAAGAAUUCUGCUGUAAUGGUAACGUUGUUCAAGACAAAGAAUUGGGGAAGAUAAUCCAACUUCAAGGCGAUCAACGCAAAAACGUGUCUCAGUUCCUUGUUCAGGCUGGUCUCGUUAAGAAGGAUCAGAUCAAAAUUCAUGGGUUUUGAGUAACUUUCUGAUCUUUGAAGGAGUCUGUUGAUUUAUGCUUUGCUUUUGGGGUAUGUUCUGUUCUUAGUUUCUAAGAGUCGGUGUGUUCUAGUCUAUUUAUCUGUGAUGGCGUGUGAUGGAAUUUUCUUAUCAAUAAAAUAUUGUUCGAUUCUGCGUGUA